rnacentral:rRNA from 1 species
CACGGGGGGAACGCGAAGAACCUUACCAGCACUUGACACCCGACUAACGAAGUAGAGAUACAUUAGGUGCCCUUCGGGGAAAGUCGAGACAGGUGGUGCAUGGUUGUCGUCAGCUCGUGUCGUGAGAUGUUGGGUUAAGUCCCGCAACGAGCGCAACCCCUGCCAUUAGUUGCUACGCAAGAGCACUCUAAUGGGACCGCUACCGACAAGGUGGAGGAAGGUGGGGACGACGUCAAAUCAUCAUGCCCCUUAUGUGCUGGGCUACACACGUAAUACAAUGGCCAUCAACAGAGAGAAGCAAUACCGCGAGGUGGAGCAAAACUUCAAAAAUGGUCUCAGUUCGGACUGUAGGCUGCAACUCGCCUACACGAAGUUGGAAUUGCUAGUAAUCGUGGAUCAGCAUGCCACGGUGAAUACGUUCCCGGGUCUUGUACACACCG